rnacentral:rRNA from 1 species
AGCUCCAUUAGCGUAUAUUAAAGUUGUUGCAGUUAAAAAGCUCGUAGUUGGAUUUCGGUUCGGGUCGGGGCGGUGGCGUCGCGAGACGUCUACCUCCCGGCCAGUCUCUCUUCCCGAAGACUGCGUGUGCUCUUCAGUGGGUGCGCGUCGGGACUCGGGACGUUUACUUUGAAAAAAUUAGAGUGUUCAAAGCAGGCAUUCAUCGUGCCCGAAUACAUGAGCAUGGAAUAAUAGAAUAGGACCUGGUCUUAUUUUGUUGGUUUGUAUAAUUUCAGGUAAUGAUUAACAGGGACGGUUGGGGGCAUUUGUAUUCCGAGGCGAGAGGUGAAAUUCUUAGACCCUCGGAAGACAAACAGCUGCGAAAGCGUUUGCCAAGGACGUUUUCAUUGAUCAAGAACGA